UACGGAGGGUGCGAGCGUUGUUCGGAAUCACUGGGCGUAAAGCGCACGUAGGCGGCUUGUUAAGUCAGGGGUGAAAUCCUGGAGCUCAACUCCAGAACUGCCUUUGAUACUGGCGAGCUUGAGUCCGGGAGAGGUGAGUGGAACUGCGAGUGUAGAGGUGAAAUUCGUAGAUAUUCGCAAGGACACCAGUGGCGAAGGCGGCUCACUGGCCCGGUACUGACGCUGAGGUGCGAAAGCGUGGGGAGCAAACAGG
rnacentral:rRNA from 1 species